AAUAAUAAAAAUAGAAUUAAAAAAGUUUAAAAUUAAAACACAAACAAGACAGGACAUUGUGCAACGACAAGAUAAACAAGUAGCAGCAACAUUGUACAUGUAGUACAUGUAGUUAGCAAUAUGAACUUUGAUGCAAUGCAUGGUAUUUGCAAUCUUGAUACAUAAAUAUAGUCAAUAAAUAUUUAAUGUAAUAAAUAAAUCAUAUUUCGUUAUUAAACAAAAUAAUAACUUUUUGGGCCUGUUUACACCCGCUCUCCCCCUGCCAAUACAACCUUCGGUUAUAAAACACAUUUGCACUGUACGUUCUCCCAAGAUGCAGCGCGCCACAUUACUGCUCCUACAGCCGGAAGUAGAACUCAGUCCUACGCUCGCCCCGUACUGAAAAUUGUAAAAGGUGGAGCAAGUAUAUUCUGAAAAGAUGAAUUUUGAUUUUACAUCUGAUGAUGUUAGUGAAAAUUCGGGUUUCCUUUUUACUGAAAACCAGGAGUCAAACUUAAUGACAUCGACUGAACCCAAGAUGGGUAGAAAGAAAAAAAAGAAAAACACAAUUGCAAGUAAACCCACUGAUUUGUGGGUUUGCAAGACAAAGACCAGCCUUUGUUAAAUAUGUUACUGACAGAGGUCUUCAAAUUGAAAUCUCAACGUAAAGGUAUGUCUGAAUAUUCCAGAGAAAGUGCAUCAUGGUCAGAUUCUUCCAGCGUAUCAUCAAGAACAUACAGAAGCUCCUCCAGUGACAGCAGGCGUUCUGGCCGAUAUCGCAGGCGUUCUAGCCAAUAUCACAGGGAUUCAGACCGUUACAGUAGGGAUUCUGAUUAUGACAGCAGGAAGUCUGGCCAGGUAUCGCAGCAGCAGGGAGUCUGGCCAGGUAUUGCAGCAGCAGGGAGUCUGGCCGGUAUCACAGCAGCAGGGAGUCUGGCCAGUAUCGCAACAGCAGGGAUUUUGGCCAGGAUAGCAGGGUUUCAGACCACUAUACUAGAAAUUUUGACCACCAUGGACAAAGAGACUCAGACCGUGGUCAGCAUGCUGCAGACUUUGGUCAAACGGAUUCUGAUCAUGAUCACAGAAAUGUCAGAAGUGGUCGAAAACAUUUUAGCCAUGGUCACCAAAAUACAGACAAUGAUAGAAUGAACUCUCGUCAUCGUUGGCAUGUAGACAGUGGUCGAACAGACUUAGAUUGUUAUCGCAGGAAUGCUGGUGGUGGUCGAACAGAUUCUAACCAUGGCUUUGGAAUUGCCAAAGGUCACAGGAAAUCUCUUCAUACAACAGAAUGGAAUUCUGAAAGAAGAGGUACUUCAAAAUUUCAAAUUGAGAAUAAAAAUAGGUCCAGUAUUCCUAAACAAUUAUCUGUACCUUAUACCGUCCCUGACUACUAUUCACUGAUUACAGUGGCUUAGAAGAACCUUCACCUAAAAUCCCUUCAUUAGCGCAUUUGGAUCAACUCAAGGUGGCAGUGAGCAGACUAGGAGUAUACCUUGUUUUUCUAAGUGAAUUCUUUACAUUCACAGUUUUUCUUAUUCUUCAAGCUCUGCAAUAUCAGCUACUGAAUGUUCAGAGACAUCUCGUAACAUGGACUCCGCAAGCCCUCUCAGUAAAUGCACCGUUAAAUGGGAUAGUUCAUUAAAGCUCACAGGAGAUCAUGCUUCCAGCACCGCUCUGGGAGGUACAUUAGUGUCAAGGUCCUGGCCACAUGGCUUUGAUUAAUGUGAUAAGGGAGAUUUUUUUUUGUAUCUUCUAUUCUGUAUAAACAGAAUUCCAGUAUGACAAGUGCAAAAGUACAAGCGUAUUAUAGACAUACCAUGGCCUAAAUUUGUAAUGGCACUAUGGAAGAAAAAGGGUUAAUUGAAUUUGAAUAUAGAUUACUGGAUGACUUUGAAAAUAAACAAUUGUUAAAAUGUAGUAAUUUUUCAUAAAGGAUAUCUUUAAGUAUCUUUAUAUAUUUAUUAUACAACUUGGCUUCAGAAAGGGCCAACAUUGAGAAACAGCAGACUAUCUUUAAACAUCAGUGUGGGAUCAAAAUAAGCUGAGGCCAAAAUUGGAAAUAACUACAUCGAUGCUGCUAUGUUGCCAUUGUGCCCGAUACAGUUAAACUGAAAACACAUUACAAGGACAUUGUCCUGCUUCAGAUUGCUAAUGCAUGGAUGGGGAGAGCAGCAGGAAGAACGAUGGUUCAUUGUGUAAAUGGAAGAGACAAGAAGUCAUAAAGAGUUGGGGCACCUACGUGAAUGUUGUAUAAUGAACGAUGUUGUGUUUUCAGAAAAUAAUAGCGGAGACAUCUUCAGACGAGAGUCUUGAUCUGACUGACUCCAAAAUGGCAGGAGAUCCAGUUUUCAGGAGGGGGCAGCAGAAGUGAUGUCAUAGUUGGAAUGUCUGUCAAUCAUUUGUUAUCCAUUGGAAGAAAAAAAGUCAUUAAGUGACAGUUCCACCCCCUGGCUUGGAGUGUAAUUACCAAUAGAAGAGCUCUAAGGUGAUCUCUGAUACAUGGGUAUGUGGCAAUUGGUUGCUUGUAGAAUGGCAAUAGUCAAAUCUUUUUCAGUAAACCUUGGUGAGGGCACUAAAAUUACCAGUGACAAGGCAAAGUGUCUCAAAUUCUUCCUUCUUUUGGAUCCAAAACUACUAUAACAAGUAAUUGCAACACAGUGAAGGUAAUUCUGGGGAAUGUAUGACACCCCAGCAAAAGCAGGUAAAGCAGAGUAAGUCAAAACUCCACACGUCUGUGUUGCUAUGAUGAAAAGUCCUGCUGAAGACAUUCAAUAUUAGCACAGCAGGGAUGAGAAAUGACUUGCAGAUUAGGUGGCAUAUUGACUCGGACCUCUCAGUGUUAGUUGGAGCCAACUGUUAUUGACAAAUUCAGAUUAAUUUGUUCCUUGCAGAAAACUCUUGGGCUCAUUUUCUUCCAGCCCAUAGCACUUAACUAGCUGAACAAUAAGGGAAACUCCUGAAUUCUAAGAAACUGUUACGGUAGAAAGAUCUUUUGGUUUAGUAUCCUUAUUUUUCUUGAUCAGUGGUGUUUCUACAUUAAGGGCCAGUGGGGCACAAACACAGCAGAUGUUGUGCAAUAUAUUUUUAGGUUUUCCUUUAUUAAUUUAUUAUUAAAAUGUUUAGAAUAACCUUCAGCUUUGUCUUCAGCUGUUCUUUGUCCAAUUUAUUAAUCAUAUGUUCAGAGUAAUCGGGGUGGGUACGUGGUAUGAGGUGACACUUCAGGCAGAAUGGCAUUUUCAUAGUAUUUUUUUUUUUUUGGGUUACAAAAUGACUAUACAAAUAAUAUCAGACACAUAUCGCCCUUAAGAUUUACAGGCAUAUCAAAUGUUUUAAGUACUGCCUUUAAAAAUUGUAAGAAAUAUUUUCAAUUUAAAUUGUCAUUUAUCUAUGAACUGCAAUUUGCACACUGUGAGGUUUUGAGCAUCAAAAUGGCACAUGUCAUACCUACAUGUAAAUGACUGAUACUGGCAUUAAUGUUCCUGAUUUGUCACAUGUAAUGAGUAUGUAUUGAGUGAUGGAAGGCAAGGAUGGCUUGGCAUCCCAACUGGGAUGGUUGAUGAUCCCUUUCCCAUUUGGGAUUACUUAAUGGAUGGACAGAUAGGGGCUGCCUUACAGGGCCGUUUGCUCCCCUAAUAUGCUGGGUGUCUGCACUCCUCUGCUUGGACUUUAGCGUGCACAUCCGAAGGGCUGCGUGGGAGUUGUAGUCCCAGUGGAUAGCUGUGGUGAUGAUGGUAUAUUUCUUUUUUAGAAUAAUUUUGCAUUUCUUGCAAUAAUGCUUAAAUUUGUAAUAUGUAUAAUUACAGUAUAUCAAACAGGUGUGGAAAGCUAAGACAUGUUCAGGUAAAAAACAAAGGACAUGCAUGAAUGACACACAACUGUCUGUAUUCUUAACCACAAGCUCGUCUCCAGAAGGUCACAAGCUGGAGCCCUUAAUUUCAAGGAAAUUAAAAGUGCUUGUCAACUGCUUCUGAACACUUGCCGAAGGAGUGGUCUUACAAAAAUGCCAAACAAAAGUUGAAGCUGGGAGUUAAUGAACACAGACAGAGGCAAUGGCAGAAGAGAGAGCUGCAGAGGUUCAGAAAGUAGGUUUGACAAAGACCCUUGAGAGAGCGGGGACAAACUGCUGCCAGCGAGGUGUAAGGACUUCACUGUAGGGUUGGCCCCCGAGAUUGGGGAAAGAGAGACGGAAAUCACUUAUCAUGAUGGACUGAUGCAGCAAACAUUUAAGUGCAGCUGGAACAUGCAUCAUAUAAAGUAAAUUGUUGCAAUUAUUUGCUUCUGCUUUGACAUGAUAUCUUUAUGGAUAAAUAAAUUGAGAACACCUGCUGUGCGGUCUUGCUUACUGAUCUAGUCAUCAAGGGUAUGUAUAAACGGUGUGUACGCACAAAAAUGUUGC